rnacentral:sRNA from 1 species
AGGUACCACUCGUCCACUCCGGUUGCUCCGCGCCGUCCGCACCCACCUGACGGCUGCGCGCUGCAGUUUGUUAGCC